CGGCACGGGACCGUUAGAGCGCGAGUUGUGUGAACGAAGGGUGCAACGUGCCUUGCAAAAGGGGUCAGAAGUACCUGAGGCUG
rnacentral:rRNA from 16 species